rnacentral:rRNA from 1 species
GACGAACGCUGGCGGCGUGCCUAAUACAUGCAAGUCGAGCGGGCCUCCGGAGGUGCUUGCACCUCCGGAAGGCCAGCGGCGGACGGGUGAGUAACACGUGGGCAACCUGCCUUUGAGGCCGGGAUAACACCGGGAAACCGGUGCUAAUACCGGAUGCGUCCCCUUUCGCGCCUGCGAGAGGGGAGAAAGACGGUCUUUAAGGCCGUCGCUCAAAGAGGGGCCCGCGGCGCAUUAGCUGGUUGGUGGGGUAAGGGCCUACCAAGGCGACGAUGCGUGGCCGACCUGAGGGGGUGAUCGGCCACACUGGGACUGAGACACGGCCCAGACUCCUGCGGGAGGCAGCAGUAGGGAAUCAUCCGCAAUGGGCGAAAGCCUGACGGUGCAACGCCGCGUGAGUGAGGAAGGUUUUCGGAUCGUAAAGCUCUGUUGUGAGGGAAGAACAGCUUCCGGAGGAAAUGCCGGAGGUUUGCCGGUACCUCACCAGAAAGCCCCGGCUAACUACGUGCCAGCAGCCGCCGUAA